rnacentral:rRNA from 1 species
AUCCCCCUACGGGAGGCAGCAGUGGGGAAUAUUGCACAAUGGGGGAAACCCUGAUGCAGCGACGCCGCGCGAGUGAAGAAGUAUUUCGGUAUGUAAAGCUCUAUCAGCAGGGAAGAUAAUGACGGUACCUGACUAAGAAGCCCCGGCUAACUACGUGCCAGCAGCCGCGGUAAUACGUAGGGGGCAAGCGUUAUCCGGAUUUACUGGGUGUAAAGGGAGCGUAGGUGGCAUGGUAAGCCAGAAGUGAAAACCCAGGGCUCAACUCUGCGGAUUGCUUUUGGAACUAUCAAGCUAGAGUGCUGUAG